ensembl:lncRNA
AUGAAUGUAAUGGGGUGUUUGUGACUCAAUCCAAAACUCUAAUAGCUACACCAGAUUUCCAGAUGGAUCACUUGAGCAAAACAUCAUGGCAUUGUUGUCUCACAGUGUCACACAGCAACAAUUAUUCUUGAGCCAAUUCAGAGUAAGGGCAAUGGCUGCUCUCAGUCUGAACACCCAGUUUCACUCCUCUUUAUAGGCCUUGUGAAAAAUCAUCCAGUAGGAAAGUUGCUCUUAAGCUGCAGAAUGUUUCAGGAAAAAUACUGCAUUUUGGGGCAUGCCUACACUAGAUAAUUUGUCACUCAGCCCAUGUAGUGCACAAGUAUCUAAAAGACCAGAGAUAGCACUAUAUAUUUGGUCUAGGAUGGUGGAGUUGCUUAAGGAAGAAAUACAAAAGUCUGAGUAGCUGAGGAGGGUAGAACUGGAGCACACAAAGUCCUGGACAGUUCCUGGUCAAUUCAUUUAGACCUGCAUGAGGGACCGUCUUGCUAGAUUGUGCCCCUAUUAGUCAAGAAAGUGUAAACACUUCAGCAUCUGCUAAUGAAAUUGCUUAUUUUGAAAGUGACCAGUUUAAUAGUAUAGUCGCUGUUUUUGUGCGGUUAAUAUUUAUCUGGUAGCUCACAGAGUUUUCACUUGUUGGCAGUGAUGUCAAAACAGCAGUGUGAGCCCAACCAUUUUCCAAAGAUAAAUGUCAUCAUAGCAUUAAGACCACUCAAGCAACAUAGUGAUUAAAUUCUCCCCUACUGCCCCUAGCUGAUUCCCUCCACACCAUCUUUAUUUCUUCUGUUCCCCUCCUUUCAGUGUUACAGAGAAGUGUUUUCCAGCCAGAAGCUAAGAACCCAUGUUGGUAACCUGCAUUGCUGCAUCUGGAAGACCGCCGAGCGAUGGUCUGUUCUUACUCAGACAGCAUCUGUAUUGUACAGACAGGAUCCUACAUCUCCUGGCCUCUGUUCCGUGUUAUUUGCAUCGAGUCUCCAGCAUGAAUCAGUUCACUGCGGCAGCCGACGGGUCGAUGUGACUUGCAUUCUUAGCAGUGAGAUCAAGUUUGCCAAGAUGCGUAUUUGGCAAAACUGCUUUCUCUUGUUCUUCUCUCAUGAGAGAGAGAUGGGGAAAAGACAGAGAUCUGAAGAACACCCACAACAGAUUCUGGAGCAGCAGCUUGGACCUGGAAUUGCAACCUGCAUGGCAAAUAGGCAGGCAUGUGCAGUAGGAGGUCUCAUGUCCAGUCACACCUUUCUCCUUGAAAAUCAGGUGACAUUAGGCAUGAGAACAGAGAACCCAUAGAGCAGUCCACUCAGUUCUGUGUGCUGUGCCUUUUCAGGCUUAUAGCCUAUUCUUUCUAGAGCACAUGUAAGAUAGGUUGCUGCCUGAGGCCAAUUAUGACUGAGGCCAAUCCUCCAUUCCAUAUAGAGAACUGAACUGGCAGCUGAAUCUUACUUCUAUACUAGUGAUGCAGGACAGUGACCUCUGCUGCACCCAAGGGAAAUAGAGUGAGCCAUCAUAGAUAACUUUAAUAAGAACCCUUCAGAGACAGAUCUUUCCCCUUUCAAGAGAAAUCUGCACAAGAGGAUGUGGCUCAGUGCAGAAUCACCACCUUCUGUAGCAAGACUAACUCCGCUAUUCUCAAAAUGAUAUACAUCUAUGCACCUUCCUCUCUCUCCAAGUGCUGAUUCAAAUAUAAAUUCUUGGUUUGUUUAUUUUUUUCUGGACAAUCAGGAAAAUAUCUCCAACCUCAGCCAGAUCACUGAACACCAGAUGCUAGUUUUGAACACAGAUAACAUUUCUGGGAAGAAUCAUGUUUGUGUAUCAUAUGUUAAUACUUUUGCUUAUCAACCCAAAUUCUCUGACUGUCUUUUCUUAAACUUUUUUUUUAAAAAAUAAGCUUUCAACAUGAACCAGCCUUUUAAUUAACUUAUUUAAAUUUUUCCUGCUCUAUAGGCUAGUUAACAUUUAAGGAGAUGACAUUUUCAAGACCU